CCCAAGCUGAAUUUUGACGUAAUUUGUCUUGAUGUAGCUAACAGGUGGCGGAGGUGUAUUUGAAAGUCGGCAGCAUUCUGACAGCGAUUAGAAUGUCCUCCGUCUGCUAGUCUUCUUGAUUCUUAAAUUCUGUGGAGCUCAAAUAGACAACAAAGCUUGUGGAACUGAUUAAGUGUUAGCAUAAAUAUCUAGCCUUUUUCAUGUUGAGACUCCUUAAUAAAUAUUACUCUCUGUUUUUAUAUUUUUGUUUUUAUAAAGCAGAAAAAUAUUUAUUUUAUUUUUAUGCCACCAUAGUGAAUGUACUUAUGGGUUUUAUGCCACUCGUCUACUCACAUGGGGCUUACUGUUUUUCACAUUUUUAUUUUCUUUUUAAGAUAGUAUGAACUUAAUUAACUAAGUAUCUAUUUGAAAUAAUUGAAAGGGAAAGGAUAACUACCAAGUUUACCUCUUGGCAAGGCGUUCGGUGUUUUUAAGUCCUCCGAACGGGACUCUCCAUUUUCUCAAUUGUCCUGAGGUUCGUUGGGUGGCGUAGUCGGUGCUUCCGGCAGCGCCUCCUCUUCUUGUAUAGUUAUCUUCAUUUUUCAUACCUGACUUGGUGCUUUAAUCUCCUCUGGAUAAUUCUGUUUAAACUCUACGUUUUGUGACCUUAUAACUUCUCCUUCAUAGUCUGCCCAUCCGUCCUUGAUGAUCUGCCUCCUCUGGUUGCGGUUGCAUCGCUUUCUUACCUGUUUAGAUUCUUCAACGAUAUAGUUAGGGUCAGUAAAAUAACGGCGUACCUUCUCUGAGGGGAAGUGCAUAUGGACUUCUCCGGUUCCAAUGUAGAUAAUUGCUUUAACGGUGCUGAGGAACGGUCUUCCAAGGAUGAUGGGUGGAUCGUAUUCAUCUUCUCCCAUGUCAAUAACUUGAAAGUCUGUGUAGACAAAGUGAUCGUCUAUUUUGACUGGAACAUCAGUUACUAUUCCUUAAACUUCUCGAAAUGUCUGAUCUGCCAUCUGGAGCUGAUGGUCUUAGUGGCAUGGUUCCGAACAAGAGCCGAUAGGUGACUGCGGCCAUUAUGUUGACGCCCGAUCCGGUGUCGCAAAUCGUCUUGUAGAAGUUGUAUCCAUUUAUGGAGCAGUAAAUGCUUGGCAUUCUUGGUUCGUCCUUCUUGGUCAAAGAUGGUGACUUAAGUUGGUGAUCUUGGCCUCCAUGGACUACAGUGACCAUCUUAGCUGAUUCGGUCCACACUUGCUUGUUCCUGUUUCUCCUGUUGGUCCUCUUCUUUGAUUUACGUCUGGAUUGAUCUUGAAUUUGUGUAGUCUUGUU
rnacentral:lncRNA from 1 species